ACACGGAACACGAAACACUGAAUACAGAAUCAUAACAGGAAUACACCCCCACCAAUUAAUUACCUACACUAGCGACCCGAACUGGCCCUAAUCCUCUGCCGUAAUUCGCAUCUUCCAGACCUUCCUAUCUAGGGUCAUGUCCUCGGUGAGCUGUAACUGUUCCAUGUCCCGCCUAAUCACCUCACCCCAGUACUUCUUUGGUCUACCCCUUCCCAGUCUAAAACCAUCCAACGCUAGCCUCUCACACCUACGGACCGGGGCAUCCAUGCCCCUCCUCUUCAUGUGUUCGAACCAUCUCAAUCGUGCUUCCCGCAUCUUACACUCCACUGAAGUCACACCAACCUUCUCCCGGAUAGUCUUGUUCCGAACUCUAUCCCCUCGGGUCAGUCCACACAUCCAGCGCAACAUCCGCAUUUCUGCCACCUUCAUUUUUUGGAUGUGGGAGUUCUUAACUGGCCAACA
rnacentral:lncRNA from 1 species